rnacentral:rRNA from 1 species
AUGGUUGAAACUAAGAAACAUUUGGUACUUUCACUAGUAUACAAACUUAUUGAGUUGGCCUUGAUAUUGCCGGCGUCAACGGUAUCUGUUGAGAGAGCCUUUUCAGGAAUGAAGAUUAUCAAGACUAAACUGCAUAGCAAGAUCAAUAAUGAAUGGUUCAGUGACUUGUUAAGAUGUUACACCGAGCGGAAGUUAUUCAAGUAA